rnacentral:sRNA from 1 species
GGGUGCCUUCGGGCGGUUACCAGCCAAUGCUUCAGCGGUCUGAGAGAAGCGCCUUCGGGUGACUGCCAGCUAAUGUCCCACAUACCUGAGAGGGACGCCUUAUGGCGGUAAACCCGUUUAACCUUUGAAAACGGGGGCCACUAAUGUGGAUAAGGUCACC